AUUGAACGCUGGCGGCAUGCCUUACACAUGCAAGUCGAACGGUAACGGGUCUUCGGAUGCUGACGAGUGGCGAACGGGUGAGUAAUACAUCGGAACGUGCCUAGUAGUGGGGGAUAACUACUCGCAAGAGUGGCUAAUACCGGAAGAGAUCGACGGAUGAAAGCAGGGGAUCGCAAGACCUUGGGCUUCUUGAGCGGGCGGUGGCAGAUUAGGUAGUUGGUGGGAUCAAAGCUUACCAAGCCAAAGAUCUGUAGAUUGUCUGAGAGGACGAUCAGCCACACUGGGACUGAGACACGGCCCAGACUCCUACGGGAGGCAGCAGUGGGGAAUUUUGGACAAUGGGCGCAAGCCUGAUCCAGCAAUGCCGCGUGCAGGAUGAAGGCCUUCGGGUUGUAAACUGCUUUUGUACGGAACGAAAAGCCCCGGGUUAAUACCCUGGGGUCAUGACGGUACCGUAAGAAUAAGCACCGGCUAACUACGUGCCAGCCGCCGCAGUAA
rnacentral:rRNA from 1 species